GGCGGCCAUAGCGCCGUGGAACCACCUGAUCCCAUGCCGAACUCAGAAGUGAAACGCGGUAGCGCCGAUGGUAGUGUGGCAUUCGCCAUGCGAGAGUAGGACACUGCCAGGC
rnacentral:rRNA from 2 species